AGCGAACGCUGGCGGCAGGCCUAAAACAUGCAAGUCGAACGCCGUAGCAAUACGGAGUGGCGGACGGGUGAGUAACACGUGGGAACGUGCCUUUUGGUUCGGAACAACACAGGGAAACUUGUGCUAAUACCGGAUAAGCCCUUACGGGGAAAGAUUUAUCGCCAAAAGAUCGGCCCGCGUCUGAUUAGCUAGUAGGUGGGGUAACGGCCCACCAAGGCUACGAUCAGUAGCUGGUCUGAGAGGAUGAUCAGCCACACUGGGACUGAGACACGGCCCAGACUCCUACGGGAGGCAGCAGUUAGGAAUCUUGGACAAUGGGCGCAAGCCUGACCCAGCCAUGCCGCGUGAGUGAUGAAGGCCUUAGGGUUGUAAAGCUCUUUCAGCGGGGAAGAUAAUGACGGUACCCGCAGAAGAAGCCCCGGCUAACUUCGUGCCAGCAGCCGCGGUAAAAC
rnacentral:rRNA from 1 species